rnacentral:ncRNA from 1 species
GGUCCUGGUACUCAUCACAUGCCCUGUAUCACCGUUGAAGGUCAGGUAUGUCCCCGUGUCUCCUUGCCCUAUGAAUAAAAGGUGGUUUCUUAACCAGUUAAGCCCCAGCAACAUAUCGAAAGGUAAUUUGUCACCAAAAUUAGAGUGUUCAAAGCAGGCCUAUGCCCGAAUACAUUAGCAUGGAAUAAUAAAAUAGGACGUGCGGUUCUAUUUUGUUGGUUUCUAGAGUCGCCGUAAUGAUUAAUAGGGAUAGUUGGGGGCAUUAGUAUUGCGUUGCUAGAGGUGAAAUUCUUGGAUUGACGCAAGACUAACUACUGCGAAAGCAUUUGCCAAGGAUGUUUUCAUUAAUCAAGAACGAAGGUUAGGGGAUCGAAAACGAUCAGAUACCGUUGUAGUCUUAACAGUAAACUAUGCCGACUAGGGAUCGGGCGAACUCAAUUUUAUGUGUCGCUCGGCACCUUACGAGAAAUCAAAGUCUUUGGGU